GAUGGGGUGGCCGAGGUUAGGUAAUAAAUUGUAAAUUUAUGGACGAAAGUUAAUUUCUCUCAUCA
rnacentral:tRNA from 1 species